rnacentral:rRNA from 1 species
GAUGAACGCUGGCGGCGUGCCUAAUACAUGCAAGUCGAGCGAACGGACGAGAAGCUUGCUUCUCUGAUGUUAGCGGCGGACGGGUGAGUAACACGUGGAUAACCUACCUAUAAGACUGGGAUAACUUCGGGAAACCGGAGCUAAUACCGGAUAAUAUUUUGAACCGCAUGGUUCAAAGGUGAAAGACGGUCUUGCUGUCACUUAUAGAUGGAUCCGCGCUGCAUUAGCUAGUUGGUAAGGUAACGGCUUACCAAGGCAACGAUGCAUAGCCGACCUGAGAGGGUGAUCGGCCACACUGGAACUGAGACACGGUCCAGACUCCUACGGGAGGCAGCAGUAGGGAAUCUUCCGCAAUGGGCGAAAGCCUGACGGAGCAACGCCGCGUGAGUGAUGAAGGUCUUCGGAUCGUAAAACUCUGUUAUUAGGGAAGAACAUAUGUGUAAGUAACUGUGCACAUCUUGACGGUACCUAAUCAGAAAGCCACGGCUAACUACGUGCCAGCAGCCGCGGUAAUACGUAGGUGGCAAGCGUUAUCCGGAAUUAUUGGGGGUAAAGCGCGCGUAGGCGGUUUUUUAGUCUGAUGUGAAAGCCCACGGCUCAACCGUGGAGGGUCAUUGGAAACUGGAAAACUUGAGUGCAGAAGAGGAAAGUGGAAUUCCAUGUGUAGCGGUGAAAUGCGCAGAGAUAUGGAGGAACACCAGUGGCGAAGGCGACUUUCUGGUCUGUAACUGACGCUGAUGUGCGAAAGCGUGGGGAUCAAACAGGAUUAGAUACCCUGGUAGUCCACGCCGUAAACGAUGAGUGCUAAGUGUUAGGGGGUUUCCGCCCCUUAGUGCUGCAGCUAACGCAUUAAGCACUCCGCCUGGGGAGUACGACCGCAAGGUUGAAACUCAAAGGAAUUGACGGGGACCCGCACAAGCGGUGGAGCAUGUGGUUUAAUUCGAAGCAACGCGAAGAACCUUACCAAAUCUUGACAUCCUUUGACAACUCUAGAGAUAGAGCCUUCCCCUUCGGGGGACAAAGUGACAGGUGGUGCAUGGUUGUCGUCAGCUCGUGUCGUGAGAUGUUGGGUUAAGUCCCGCAACGAGCGCAACCCUUAAGCUUAGUUGCCAUCAUUAAGUUGGGCACUCUAAGUUGACUGCCGGUGACAAACCGGAGGAAGGUGGGGAUGACGUCAAAUCAUCAUGCCCCUUAUGAUUUGGGCUACACACGUGCUACAAUGGACAAUACAAAGGGCAGCGAAACCGCGAGGUCAAGCAAAUCCCAUAAAGUUGUUCUCAGUUCGGAUUGUAGUCUGCAACUCGACUACAUGAAGCUGGAAUCGCUAGUAAUCGUAGAUCAGCAUGCUACGGUGAAUACGUUCCCGGGUCU